rnacentral:rRNA from 1 species
GUCGUCAGCUCGUGCCGUGAGGUGUCGGGUUAAGUCCCAUAACGAGCGCAACCCUAUCAUUAGUUGCCAUCAGGUCAAGCUGGGGACUCUAAUGAAACUGCCUACGCAAGUAGUGAGGAAGGUGGGGAUGACGUCAAGUCAUCAUGGCCCUUACGGCCUGGGCUACACACGUGCUACAAUGGUCGGUACAAAGGGUUGCCAAGCCGCGAGGUGGAGCUAAUCCCAUAAAACCGAUCGUAGUCCGGAUCGCAGUCUGCAACUCGACUGCGUGAAGUCGGAAUCGCUAGUAAUCGUGAAUCAGAAUGUCACGGUGAAUACGUUCCCGGGCCUU